rnacentral:rRNA from 1 species
UCAUAUAAAAUUCUAGGUAAAAGAAAGAUAAUGACAAAUUUUUAUCUAUAAGUCUUGGCCAAAUUACGUGCCAGCAGCCGCGGUAAUACGUAGAAGACUAGUGUUAUUCAUCUUUAUUAGGUUUAAAGGGUACCUAGACGGAAAAUCAAGCCUUAAUGGGGACUAAUUUUCUAGAGUUUAAUUGGAGAAAGUCGAAUUACUGGAGAAGAGUCAAAAUAUUAUUAUACUAGUAGGACGGACAACGGCGAAGGCUACUUUCUAUAUAAAAACUGACGUUGAGGGACGAAGCCUUGGGUAGCAAUAAGGAUUUGAUACCCUAGUAGUCCUUGGAGACAAUUAUGAGUGUCAUAUAUAAAUGAAAGUGUAAGCAUUCCACCUCAUGAGUAAAGCGGCAACGCCGAAAUUGAAAUCAUUAGACCGUUUCUGAAACCAGUAGUGAAGUAUGUUAUUUAAUUCGAUAAUCCGCGAAUAACCUUACCACGCAAGCGCUGCACGGCUGUCUUCAGUUAAUGUCGUGAGAUUAUGGUUAGUUCCUUUAAUUAACGAAAACCC